rnacentral:rRNA from 1 species
CAGGAGGUGCAAGCGUUAAUCGGAAUUACUGGGCGUAAAGCGCGCGUAGGUGGUUUGUUAAGUUGGGAUGUGAAAUCCCCGGGCUCAACCUGGGAACUGCAUUUCAAAACUGACUGACUAGAGUAUGGUAGAGGGUGGUGGAAUUUCCUGUGUAGCGGUGAAAUGCGUAGAUAUAGGAAGGAACACCAGUGGCGAAGGCGACCACCUGGACUAAUACUGACACUGAGGUGCGAAAGCGUGGGGAGCAAACAGGAUU